rnacentral:RNase_P_RNA from 1 species
GGAGUUGGCUGGGCAAUCGCUGCUUCGUCGUUGUGUCCCUCGGGACAGACGGGCGGAGGGGAGGAAAGUCCGGGCUUCACAGGGCAGGGUGCCAGGUAACGCCUGGGGGGCGCGAGCCUACGACCAGUGCAACAGAGAGCAGACCGCCGAUGGCCCGCAAGGGAUCAGGUAAGGGUGAAAGGGUGCGGUAAGAGCGCACCGCGCGAC